UCUGGUUGAUCCUGCCAGUAGUGAUAUGCUUGUUUCAAAGAUUAAGCCAUGCAUGUCUAAGUAUAAGCGAACUUAUACAGUGAAACUGCGGAUGGCUCAUUAAAACAGUUUGAAUUUAUUUGAUGAAUGUAUGAGAAUACUACUUGGAUAACCGUAGUAAUUCUAGAGCUAAUACAUGCAACGACGCCCGACCGUUUCACUACGGAAGGGCUGUAUUUAUUGGAUACCAAAACCAUCCUUCCCUCGGGAAGUUUUGUUUGAUGAUUCACAAUAACUGAUCGGAUCGCCACUGUGGUGGCGACAGGUCAUUCAACAUUCUGCCCUAUCAGCUUUCGAUGGUUGUGUAGUGGACAACCAUGGCCAUAACGGGUAACGGAGAAUCAGGGUUCGAUUCCGGAGAAGGAGCUUGAGAAUUGGCUACUACAUCUAAGGAAGGCAGCAGGCGCGCAAAUUACCCAAUCCCGAUUCGGGGAGGUAGUGACAAAAAAUAACAAUACCGGGCCUUUUUGGGCUUGGUAAUUGGAAUGAGGGAGAGUUAAACGGACCAUCGAGUAUCCAUUGGAGGGCAAGUCUGGUGCCAGCAGCUGCGGUAAUACCAGCUCCAAUAGCGUAUAUUAAAGUUGUUGCAGUUAAAAAGCUCGUAGUUGGACUUGUGUGCGCUGUCCGCGGGUGGCCUGCGCCCAAAAGGGCGUUUCGGUUCGGCCCCGGUGGCGCCUUGAAAUCUGCAGCUGGGGGGACGUUGGCCUUAACUGGUCGGCGACCGCACGCCGGCUGCUCGGUUACUGUGAGAAAAUUAGAGUGUUCAAGGCAGGCAUUGGGUGCAAUUGAAUACAUUAGCAUGGAAUAAUAAAAUAUGGCUCCUGCCGUAUUUUGUUGGUUUUGACUGGUGGGAGUAAUGAUUGAUAGGGACGGUUGGGGGUGCUAGUAUUGAGCGGCCAGAGGUGAAAUUCAUGGAUUCGCUCAAGACUAACUUAUGCGAAAGCAUUCACCAAGGACGUCCUCUUUAAUCAAGAACGAAAGUUGGGGGAUCGAAGACGAUCAGAUACCGUCGUAGUCUCAACCAUAAACUAUGUCGACUUGGGAUCGGCGGUAGUUUUUUCAUUAAGACACUGUCGGGACCACGGGAGAAAUCAAAGUGUCUGGACUCUGGGGGAAGUAUGGUCGCAAGGCUGAAGCUUGAAGGAAUUGACGGAAGGGCACCACCAGGAGUGGAGCCUGCGGCUUAAUUUGGCCCAACACGGGGAGACUUACCAGGUCCAGAGAUGUAGAGGAUUGACAGAUUGAAGCUCUUUCUUGAUCACUUCGGUGGUGGUGCAUGGCCGUUCUUAGUUGGUGGAGUGAUUUGUCUGGUUA
rnacentral:rRNA from 1 species